rnacentral:misc_RNA from 1 species
AACUUUUAACAACGGAUCACUAGGCUCUUGCAUCGAUGAAGAACGCAGUGAAAUGCGAUAAGUAAUGUGAAUUGCAGAAUUCAGUGAAUCAUCGAAUCUUUGAACGCACCUUGCGCCCUUUGGCUAUUCCGAAGGGCAUGCCUGUUUGAGUAUCAUGAACACCUCAACUCUCAUGGUUUGCCAUGAUGAGCUUGGACUUUGGGGGUCUUGCUGGCUUAUGGUCGGCUCCUCUCAAAUGGAUCAGCUUGCCAGUGUUUGGUGGCAUCACAGGUGUGAUAACUAUCUACGCUUGUGGUUUUCGCCAGGUAACCUUCAGUGAUGGAGGUUCGCUGGGGCUCACAAAUGUCUCUCCUCGGUGAGGACAGCUUUUGAACGUUUGAUCUCAAAUCAGGUAGGACUACCCGCUGAACUUAAGCAUAUCAAUAAGCGGAGGCU